rnacentral:rRNA from 1 species
GACGAACGCUGGCGGCGUGCUUAACACAUGCAAGUCGAACGGAAAGGCCCUGCUUGCAGGGUACUCGAGUGGCGAACGGGUGAGUAACACGUGGGUGAUCUGCCCUUCACUUCGGGAUAAGCCUGGGAAACUGGGUCUAAUACCGGAUAGGAGCCAUUUUUAGUGUGAUGGUUGGAAAGUUUUUUCGGUGUAGGAUGAGCUCGCGGCCUAUCAGCUUGUUGGUGGGGUAAUGGCCUACCAAGGCGGCGACGGGUAGCCGGCCUGAGAGGGUGGACGGCCACAUUGGGACUGAGAGACGGCCCAGACGCCUACGGGAGGCAGAAGGGGGGAAGAUUGCACAAUGGGCGCAAGCCUGAUGCAGCGACGCCGCGUGGGGGAUGACGGCCUUCGGGUUGGAAACUCCUUUCGCGAGGGACGAAGCUUUUUGUGACGGUACCUAGAUAAGAAGCACCGGCUAACUACGUG